rnacentral:tRNA from 1 species
GCAGUCGUGGCCGAGUGGUUAAGGCGAUGGACUAAAAAUCCAUUGGGGUCUCCCCAUGCAGGUUCGAAUCCUGUCGACUCCA